UGGCGGCGCCUCAGGGGCCGCCAGCCGCCAUGGCCCCGCGGGACGGAGCGGCCGCUUCCGGCACCCGCUUCCGGUGCCGCUCUGGCGCCGGCGCGCUCGCGCUCGGCGGCGCCGGGGCGAGGCGGACCCCGCGCGUGCGGCGGCGCCGCGGGGGCUCCGGCCCUGAGGGAGCCGGGCGGGACGGGCCCUCUCCACGGGCAGGCAGGAGGAAGUCUCAGCCCGCGCUGCCCACGCACCGAGCCGCCCCGAGGCCGCAGCCCUCGGCGUGGGAACGGCCCGAGCCCCCCACCUACUUCACGGGUUCCGGGCCAGGGUGCUCGGGGCUGCUUUGACGUUGCCCUUGCCUCUCUGGCUGUCCCGGCGCACCUCGCCGAACCGCGCCCUGCCCAGCGAGGACAGCAGCUGCCGGGGUGGGCAGUGAGGCAAAGGAGAGGCUGGGAAUCCUCGCUGUUCUUCUGUGCCGUGAGACUACAACAUAGAGACCAGUCACAGACUCAUUGGCAUGGAAGAACUGUAAAUGAAGACGUGCACGUGCCAGAUAACAAGGAAAAUCAACUCAGUAAGUGGCCUGCAAGUCCCCAUGGAAGCGGGAGUAGGCCGCGGUGGAGGUGCAGCCCCGGCACUGCCCGAGCCGUGGGGCACGGCCACCGCGGCUCCUCCCGCCGGCUGCGGGCCGAGCACGGCCGGGAAAGCCCCCCCGUGCUGCUGCCCCGAGAGGACGGGGAAGUGCUGUCUGAUGGCAUUAUCUUCUGCUGCCGAAACACCGAGACACAAGUUUUUCACACGGACCUGAGAGCAGACAACUGGAAUCUGUGAGAGGAUAUGGCAAAACUGAGAGUGAACAAACUGAAGAGUAAAUCAUAAUGGAACCACAUUAUGAUAACACAAAGCCCAAGUCCCUCUUUCCUUGAUCUUACCAUUUCUCAUCAAGCCCAGGCUAAAGAAACCACCUGUGUUUGGAAGGAAGUCAGAUGCAUACCUGCACACUCUUAAAAAUGCCUCCAUAGAUAAGUUAUUCUCACCUCUCCAAAGUAAGACACUAAUGGAGAAAUCUCACACACAGCCGGAGGAUCUUCAGUUCCUGAGAGACUAAGGAAGAGAACACAGGAUUAACUUCCUGCCAGGGUUAAAAAACAGUGCAUCUUCUUCAAAAGAUUAUCCAGAAUAGGAUAUCCAGAAGGAUAAGACAUUUGUUAAAGUCACAUGCACCAGACAUUAUGUGAAAACAGAGUGUGAAAAUAAAAAUGAAUUAACGGGU